rnacentral:rRNA from 1 species
UACGAAGGGGGCUAGCGUUGCUCGGAAUUACUGGGCGUAAAGCGCACGUAGGCGGCUCUUUAAGUCGGGGGUGAAAUCCUGGAGCUCAACUCCAGAACUGCCUUCGAUACUGUAGAGCUUGAGUUCGGGAGAGGUGAGUGGAACUGCGAGUGUAGAGGUGAAAUUCGUAGAUAUUCGCAAGAACACCAGUGGCGAAGGCGGCUCACUGGCCCGGAUACUGACGCUGAGGUGCGAAAGCGUGGGGAGCAAACAGGAUUGAGAUACCCCAG